rnacentral:rRNA from 1 species
CCGUAAUGGGUAAUCUGCCCUGCACUUCGGGAUAAGCCUGGGAAACUGGGAUCUAAUACCGGAUAUGAGACUUCUGCCGCAUGGNGGGNUUUGGAAAGUUUUUCGGUGCAGGAUGAGCCCGCGGCCUAUCAGCUUGUUGGUGGGGUAAUGGCCUACCAAGGCGACGACGUUUAGCCGGCCUGAGAGGGUGAUCGGCCACACUGGGACUGAGACACGGCCCAGACUCCUACGGCCAGGCAGCAGUGGGGAAUAUUGCACAAUGGGCGGAAGCCUGAUGCAGCGACGCCGCGUGGGGGAUGACGGUCUUCGGAUUGUAAACCCCUUUCAGUAGGGUACGAAGCGCAAGUGACGGUACCUGCAGGAAGAAGCAGCGGGCAACUACGUGCCAGCAGCCGCGGUAAUACGUAGGUGCGAGCGUUGUCCGGAAUUACUGGGCGUAAAGAGCUCGUAGGCGG